GCAAUCCGCCCAUCUUGACCUCCCAAUGUGCUGGGAUUACAGGCGUGAGACACUGCACCCAGCCAAAAAUAAUUUUUUUUUACUUAUAAAGGACACUAUUGGAACAACUAGUAAAUGUGCUAACGUGUGAAUUAAAUAACUACUGUAUCAGUGUUAGCUUCGUAAUUUUGAUAAUUUUACUAUGGUUAUGUAAGGAAAUAAAUACAGAAGUAUUUAAUGGCAAAAAGGUCUUUAUGUCUGCAACUUACUCUCAUAUGGUUCAGAGAAGAAAAUUGUGUGUGUGUGUGUGUGUGUGUGUGUGUGUGUGUGUACGUAUCUAUACAUACACAGUCGGCCCCUGAACAACACGGGUUUGAACUGCAUGGGUCCACUUACAUACAGACUUUUUUUCAGUAAAAGUCACACUGAGUGUGCCUGCCUCUCCUACCUCCCCUUCCACCUCUGCCACCCCUGAGACAGCAACAACAACCCCUCCUCUUCCUCCUCCUGUUCCUAUUCAAUGUGAAGACGAUGAAGAUGAAGGCCUUUAUGAUGAUCCACUCUCACUUAAUGAAUAGUAAAUAUACUUUCUCUUCCUUAUGAUUUCCUUAAUGACAUUUACUUUUCUCUAGCUCAUUUUAUUGUAAGACUAUAGUCUAUGAUAAAUAUAACAUACAAAAUAUGUGUUAAUCAAGUAUUUAUGUAAUCAAUAAGGCUUCUCUGGUCAACACUAGGCUAAUAGUAGUUAAUUUUGGGGAAGUCAAAGUUAUACACGGGUGGGGUAUGGUGGCUUAUGCCUGUAAUCCCAGCACUUUGGGAGGCCAAGGCGGGCGGAUCACUUGAGGCCAGGAGUUCAAGACCAGCCUGGGCAACAGAGCAAA
rnacentral:lncRNA from 1 species